AGAUUUGGAUUUUCUAUUUCAUAGUUAUUGAAAUCAUAAUGAGAAUGAAGUACUGCCACUAAGUCGUAUUGGAUAUGUUGCAAGGAGCUGUUCUCAAAACAUUGGGUGACAAAGAAUUCACUUUUACAAAAAUCGAGCAGGAUAUUAAAGACAGCGAACUAUAGAACAAAUAUGGCGAAGCUGAAUGAAAUCUAUGUUGAAUUUUAUUAUUGAAAAAAAUUAUGCUCUUCAGAUUUAAUGUUAGUUUUUAUUGUUUAACAGUAAUUGCAGUUUUCGAAUACCUGUAAAAUAAACCUAAUUCUUAAAUUAA